rnacentral:tRNA from 1 species
GGCCGAAUGGUCCAGUGGUAGGAUUGUUGUUUCGGGAUAUUUUCCCCACGUAUACUCGUGAUAGAAUAUGACAGAUCCCGGGUUCGAACCCCGGUUCGGCCC